CCCUGAGCUGGGAAAUGAAACACCACAAACAUCACAGCGGUUCUGAGUCUAAUCUGUAAUCAAAACUUGACUUUAAAGCAAACAAUUCAAAAGUAUUUUAUGUUAAAAACAGAUUUAUGUCUCUCACCGAGCCGUUUGUGCGACAGGUUCUCGAUCGUCGGGGCUUUGACUUCAAAACACAUUUCAAUACGUUAAUAAAACUCCACUGCAAAAAAUAAACUGUGUGUGUGUGUGUGUGUGUGUGUGUGUGUGUGUGUGUGUGUGUGUGUGUGUGUGUGUGUGUGUGUGUGUGCUGUGCAGAGAGGAAGAAGGAAGAAGGAAGUGUAAAAGUGGUCAAAACAAAACGACUCAGAUUCUAAACGUGUGAGACAGAGAAGUGAUUCAGAUUAAAAUGAUGAUGGAUUUAUUUCAUGGUGAUUUGUGUAAAUAAUCUUGUUUUUACGCACUUGGACGAGCAGCUGAUGGAGAGCAGUGGAGCAGCAUGACAGCAGUGAGAUACACACAGCUCGAGCCCUUUGGGACCGGACGGGUGACUUAAAGGAAACGUAUGCAGUAAAGUUUAAUAAUAACAACAACAAUAAUGAAUCAAUAAACAAGCAAAAUAAAGCUUUACAGUGAAAUAACGAGUCACUUCUUCCGUAUUGACUUGAUUCAAUUUACCUGAGAAGGUACAGUCAUGGUAAUAAUAUCUGGAGCUCACACACACACACACACACACACACACACACACACACACACACACACACACACACACACACACACACACACACACACACACACACACACA